rnacentral:rRNA from 1 species
GUAGAUGCCUACAACAUAGUGUUAAUGUAUUGAAUCCCAUUAGAACUUUGUACUUAAGCGUGCUCGGGCUAGAGUAGUACUGGGAUGGGUGACCGCCUAGGAACUCCUAGUGUUUUACA